rnacentral:tRNA from 1 species
GCAGUCGUGGCCGAGCGGUUAAGGCGAUGGACUUGAAAUCCAUUGGGGUCUCCCCGCACAGGUUCGAAUCCUGUCGACUGCG